AUGAACGCUGGCGGCAGGCCUAACACAUGCAAGUCGAGCGGAUGAAAGGAGCUUGCUCCUGGAUUCAGCGGCGGUCGGGUGAGUAAUGCCUAGGAAUCUGCCUGGUAGUGGGGGACAUCGUUUCGAAAGGAACGCUAAUACCGCAUACGUCCUACGGGAGAAAGCAGGGGACCUACGGGCCUUGCGCUAUCAGAUGAGCCUAGGACGGAUUAGCUAGUUGGUGAGGUAAUGGCUCACCAAGGCGUCGAUCCGUAACUGGUCUGAGAGGAUGAUCAGUCACACUGGAACUGAGACACGGUCCAGACUCCUACGGGUGGCAGCAGUGGGGAAUAUUGGACAAUGGGCGAAAGCCUGAUCCAGCCAUGCCGCGUGAGUGAAGAAGGUCUACGGAUUGUAAAGCACAUUAAGUUGGGAGGAAGGGUUGUAGAUUAAUACUCUGCAAUUUUGACGUUACCGACAGAAUAAGCACCGGCUAACUCUGUGCCAGCAGCCGCGGUAAUACAGAGGGAGCAAGCGUUAAUCGGAAUUACUGGGCGUAAAGCGCGCGUAGGUGGUUUGUUAAGUUGGAUGUGAAAUCCCCGGGCUCAACCUGGGAACUGCAUCCAAAACUGGCAAGCUAGAGUAUGGUAGAGGGUGGUGGAAUUUCCUGUGUAGCGGUGAAAUGCGUAAUAUAGGAAGGAACACCAGUGGCGAAGGCGACCACCUGGACUGAUACUGACACUGAGGAGCGAAAGCGUGGGGAGCAAACAGGAUUAGAUACCCUGGUAGUCCACGCCGUAAACGAUGUCAACUAGCCGUUGGGAGCCUUGAGCUCUUAGUGGCGCUGCUAACGCAUUAAGUUGACCGCCUGGGGAGUACGGCCGCUAGGUUAAAUCUCAAAUGAAUUGACGGGGGCCCGCACAAGCGGUGG
rnacentral:rRNA from 1 species